rnacentral:rRNA from 1 species
CCUACGGGAGGCAGCAGUGGGGAAUUUUGGACAAUGGGCGCAAGCCUGAUCCAGCAAUGCCGCGUGAGUGAAGAAGGCCUUCGGGUUGUAAAGCUCUUUUGUCAGGGAAGAAACGGCUGAGGAUAAUACCUUCGGCUAAUGACGGUACCUGAAGAAUAAGCACCGGCUAACUACGUGCCAGCAGCCGCGGUAAUACGUAGGGUGCAAGCGUUAAUCGGAAUUACUGGGCGUAAAGCGUGCGCAGGCGGUUUUGUAAGUCUGUCGUGAAAUCCCCGGGCUCAACCUGGGAAUUGCGAUGGAGACUGCAAGGCUGGAGUCUGGCAGAGGGGGGUAGAAUUCCACGUGUAGCAGUGAAAUGCGUAGAGAUGUGGAGGAACACCGAUGGCGAAGGCAGCUCCCUGGGUCAAGACUGACGCUCAUGCACGAAAGCGUGGGGAGCAAACAGGAUUAGAUACCCUGGUAGUCCACGCCCUAAACGAUGUCUACUAGUUGUCGGGUCUUAAUUGACUUGGUAACGCAGCUAACGCGUGAAGUAGACCGCCUGGGGGAGGACGGUCGCGAGAGUAACGUACGAACGAAGUAGUACGCGAGAGAGAGCGACGACGACGACGAGGGAGGAGGNG